UACGUAGGGCGCAAGCGUUAUCCGGAAUUAUUGGGCGUAAAGAGCUUGUAGGCGGUUUGUCGCGUCUGCUGUGAAAAUCCGGGGCUCAACCCCGGACUUGCAGUGGGUACGGGCAGACUAGAGUGUGGUAGGGGAGACUGGAAUUCCUGGUGUAGCGGUGAAAUGCGCAGAUAUCAGGAGGAACACCGGUGGCGAAGGCGGGUCUCUGGGCCGAUACUGACGCUGAGGAGCGAAAGCGUGGGGGAGCGAACAGG
rnacentral:rRNA from 1 species